rnacentral:tRNA from 1 species
GGCUCGGUAGCUUAGUUGGUAAAGCGCUCGUCUAGCAUACAAGAGUUCAUAAGAACACUAAUCUGAGAAGCAGGCUUUGUCCCAGUUGAGACGUAACGCCAGAAAGAAGAAGAUGAAGCAUACAAGUGUCCUGGGUUCAAAUCCCAGUCUAGCAC